CCCGACCCCCCGCGUGGCGUCAUCCCGUGAACUCCCCCAGGGCCGGAAGGCAGCAAGGGUAAGCGAGCUCUGACGGGUGCGCGGGGGGUCACUGCC
rnacentral:SRP_RNA from 1 species